UACGGGGGAGCAAGCGUUGUUCGGAUUUACUGGGCGUAAAGGGCGCGUAGGCGGCCACCGCAAGUCGACUGUGAAAUCUCCGGGCUUAACCCGGAAAGGUCAGCCGAUACUGCGGGGCUAGAGUACAGAAGGGGCAACUGGAAUUCCCGGUGUAGCGGUGAAAUGCGUAGAGUAUCGAAGAGGAACACCUGCGGCGAAGGCGGGUUGCUGGGCUGAUACUGACGCUGAGGCGCGAAAGCCAGGGGAGCGAACGGGA
rnacentral:rRNA from 1 species